GGUGUCGCGGAAUGUGGUGUUUAGGAGGACCGUGCGCGUCUGUCCGGUAUCGUCCAAGUCUCCAUGAAUGGGGCCAGCUACCCAGAGAGGGUGUCAGGCCCGUAGGACUGAGCCGCGACGGCGUAUUGGGUCUCUCCUUAGAGUCGGGUUGCUUGAGAGUGCAGCCCUAAGUGGGAGGUAAACUCCUUCUAAGGCUAAAUACGGCCACGAGACCGAUAGCGAACAAGUACCGCGAGGGAAAGUUGAAAAGAACUUUGAAGAGAGAGUUCAAUAGUGCGUGAAACCGUUCAGGGGGUUAAACGGGUGGGCCCUCGAAGGUCGAACGCUCCCUACUCGCGUCUCCGCUCGUCGGUCCGUGCCGCUUUUUCCGAUCUCGCUACGGGACGGAGCGGUGCGGUAACUGUGGCGAGCGGGGGCGUUUAGUUAGGGGGCCAGUAGGACUCCGCAACCGUCUGGACGAGUCGUCAGAAGGGCUCUGGUAGAAAGCCUCCUCGCGGGGUGGACUCCGGGGUUCCGGGCGAUCUCUCCGGCCGUGAACCGGCAUUCCACUCGGCUGGCGUCCGUGACGAGCCUCCCUUCACGGGGGGGUUGUCGGUUGCGGGCGUCACCGGGGGACGCUUAGCGGAGAGUAGUGUCGGGUCCCACCCGACCCGUCUUGAAACACGGACCAAGGAGUCUAACAUGUGCGCGAGUCGUCGG
rnacentral:rRNA from 1 species